GCUCCCGUCGACUAGUGGUUUAGGUCGUCACAUUCUCAAUGUGAAGAGAUGGGUUCGAAUCCCGUCGGGAGUACAA
rnacentral:tRNA from 1 species